UGGGGAAUAUUGCACAAUGGGCGCAAGCCUGAUGCAGCGACGCCGCGUGGGGGAUGACGGCCUUCGGGUUGUAAACCUCUUUCAGCAGGGGCGAAGCGAAAGUGACGGUACCUGCAGAAGAAGCACCGGCCAACUACGUGCCAGCAGCCGCGGUAAUACGUAGGGUGCGAGCGUUGUCCGGAAUUACUGGGCGUAAAGAGCUCGUAGGUGGUUUGUCGCGUUGUUCGUGAAAACCGGGGGGCUUAACCCUCGGCGUGCGGGCGAUACGGGCAGACUAGAGUACUGCAGGGGAGACUGGAAUUCCUGGUGUAGCGGUGGAAUGCGCAGAUAUCAGGAGGAACACCGGUGGCGAAGGCGGGUCUCUGGGCAGUAACUGACGCUGAGGAGCGAAAGCGUGGGGAGCGAACAGGAUUAGAUACCCUGGUAGUCCACGCCGUAAACGGUGGGUACUAGGUGUGGGUUUCCUUCCUUGGGAUCCGUGCCGUAGCUAACGCAUUAAGUACCCCGCCUGGGGAGUACGGCCGCAAGGCUAAAACUCAAAUGAAUUGACGGGGUCAUAGCUGUUUCCU
rnacentral:rRNA from 1 species